GACGAACGCUGGCGGCGUGCCUAAUACAUGCAAGUCGAACGCACUCUCGUUUAGAUUGAAGGAGUUUGCUCCUGAUUGAUAAACAUUUGAGUGAGUGGCGGACGGGUGAGUAACACGUGGGUAACCUGCCCUAAAGUGGGGGAUAACAUUUGGAAACAGAUGCUAAUACCGCAUAAAACCUAACACCGCAUGGUGUAGGGUUGAAAGAUGGUUUCGGCUAUCACUUUAGGAUGGACCCGCGGUGCAUUAGUUAGUUGGUGAGGUAAAGGCUCACCAAGACCGUGAUGCAUAGCCGACCUGAGAGGGUAAUCGGCCACACUGGGACUGAGACACGGCCCAGACUCCUACGGGAGGCAGCAGUAGGGAAAUCUUCCACAAUGGACGAAAGUCUGAUGGAGCAACGCCGCGUGAGUGAAGAAGGUUUUCGGAUCGUAAAACUCUGUUGUUGGAGAAGAAUGUAUCUGAUAGUAACUGAUCAGGUAGUGACGGUAUCCAACCAGAAAGCCACGGCU
rnacentral:rRNA from 1 species